rnacentral:rRNA from 1 species
AGUGAACGCUGGCGGCGUGCCUAAUACAUGCAAGUCGAAGGAAGUGGCGCACGGGUGAGUAAUAUUUAGAUAAACUGCCCUACACAGAGGAACAACAGUUGGAAACGACUGCUAAUACCUCUUAGUGUAGGAUGAGACAAUAUCGUAUCAGCAAAUUGGUAAUGUAAUGGCUUACCAAUGCUAUGACGCGUAACUGGUCUGUGAGGAUGAGCAGUCACCUUGGAACUGAGGCACGGUACAAACGACUACGGUAGGGAGCAGGAAGGUAGAUUGCGCAAGGGGAGGAACCCUGAGGAAGAAACGCCGCGUGGAGGAUGACACUUUUCGGAUAGGAAACUCGUUUUAUAAGGAAAGCGGUACCUGAUGAAUAAGCACCGGCUAACUCCGUGCCAGCAGCCGCGGUAAUAC